CUUAUGGCCAGAAGGAAAAAGCGAAAAGUGACUGUUCAUUUACCUUUACAGACACGAUCAAUCAGACUUUCUAGAUCGAAUGCCCAUUAAGUGGAAUUUCAAGUUGGCAUGUGUCCUCUCCAGUGGCCCUACUUCCCAAGGUCCUUCAGAAAAUCAGAACGGACAAAGCCCUAUUUCUUGCAAUUGUUCCUUAUUGGCCCAUCGUUAGUUGGUUCUCGGAAUAAAGGAUGAUGUCAAUAGCAUUCUGGGAACUAUCGCCAUACUUUCCUCUGCUAGAGGAAAGCUUCCUCCUCUCAAAGCCAUUCAGCUUGGUGGCAUAGCUGCUGCAAGCUUGAUUCUUAAACAUGGUAUUCAAGAAAGCAGAGUUAAUCUACUCCUGGGCUCCACUAGGAAAUUGACAUCUAAAAUUUAUCUGAGAAUUUGGAAAAGAUUUCACUGUUGUGAGGAUCGUGAUUGCCUUCAGGUUUCUACACCCAUAGAUACUAUUCUUUAUUUUCUUCAAGAUGGGUUUUCAUCAGACCUUUAGUGUCUCUACAUUUAAAGAGCAUUUAUUAGCCCUGAGCCGUUUUCUCAUCAAACAUUUAGCUUCUAAUUUAUUGAUUAGAACAUUCUUCAUUUUACUCCUGAAGUCACAUUGUAAAUCCUUUGUUCCAUCUUGGGAUUUAUCUUUACUGUUGAAGGCUUUAUGCGAACCAUAUUUUGAACCUCCGUCAUCAGACAGAGCUCAGGCAGUGGGUGAUUCCGGUCCAAGGCAGAGCGACCCCAUCUACCCUGGGAGGAAACUAGACCGCAGGAAACGAUCAACACCUCAGGACACCCGAGGUCAGGGAAACUCAAUCCAAAGCCUGCUUAAACAUUCUCCUUGUGCUAUGGGGUUACACCAGCCUCAAAAAUUACAGGAUUUAUUGAGUUAUCGACAGAAAAUGUAGGUUAAGCUCUAGAGCGCCCUCACCCACGUCCUGCUAGCUUUAUAGCCGGGCCCAAUCCCACUCUUGAGGCACUAAGCUUCUAAGUAGUCGGGUUAAUGCACUUUCAGGGAAUGUAAUGAGUUUUCAUUUUAAUGAAACCUAUGGAGAAUCUUAC